GUAGGGAAUAUUGCGCAAUGGACGAAAGUCUGACGCAGCGACGCCGCGUGAGUGAUGAAGGCCUUAGGGUCGUAAAGCUCUGUUGAAUGGGAAGAAAAAAAUGACGGUACCAUUCGAGGAAGGACCGGCUAACUUCGUGCCAGCAGCCGCGGUAAUACGAGGGGUCCUAGCGUUGUUCGGAAUCAUUGGGCGUAAAGGGUGUGUAGGUGGCCAUGUAAGUCAGGUGUGAAAGCCCCGGGCUCAACCCGGGAAGUGCACUGGAUACUGCGUGGCUUGAGUACCGAAGAGGGUAGUGGAAUUCCAGGUGUAGUGGUGAAAUACGUAGAUAUCUGGAGGAACACCGGUGGCGAAGGCGGCUACCUGGUCGAGUACUGACACUGAGACACGAAAGCAUGGGGAUCAAACAGGAUUAGAUACCCGAGUAGUCC
rnacentral:rRNA from 1 species